rnacentral:lncRNA from 1 species
GCAGUUUUUGAAGCUGGGAGAACAGGCAGAUGUGUGGGACACUCAGGGCCCUUCAGAUCUCCCCCAGGAGCCACUGAUACAGGACUUGAGCUUGGAGGGAGCUGGAGUGGCCGCUUGCUGAGUCUUUCUCCCUGGAGCUCGUGGGCAGCUGGUUACCUCGCGCUGGGGCGACCCUGACUUAGGACCUCCUGCCGUUUCUCUGGGUGACUGCUCUGUAGUCGUGAGUCGUCUCUUUAAUGCUGAGCAUCAGUACCUGCACAGCCCUGAAUGGAGCAGCUGCCCAGAAUCUGUCUUGUCAUCGAUAGAUGGACAGUUGCCGAGUGUCCUGCGUGCCGACUGACUAAGGAGUUUUUGUCUCUGUCACCCUGUCCCCUGUGGUUUUAUGAAGACGUUAGUUAUGAAUCCGUGUUUAGGAUGAGAAGAUGUAAACAGUGAGGAGGAUAAGUGAGAAGCUAGCAAGAGUCUGGAUGGUGAUGGCGGGGGAGCGCUGGUGGAGGAGUCGGGGGCGUCCCGCUGGACUGGGGCACAGCUCUGCAGCAGCAGCCGGUGCGGUUUUGCCUUGUAAGUGACACCGUUGCCUGCAGGCAUCUCUGACAGCUGCUCCUGCUCCAGAUUCCAGAAAUUUCUAUGGAACAUUUCCUGAACCAUCCUCCUGGUUUCUUCCCUUCCCCUCACUGAAUAAAAUCCGUAAUAGCA